rnacentral:rRNA from 1 species
CUGAGAGGUUGAACGGCCACCUUGGGACUGAGACACGGCCCAGACUCCUACGGGAGGCAGCAGUGGGGGAUAUUGCGCAAUGGGGGCAACCCUGACGCAGCAACGCCGCGUGAAGGAUGAAGGUUUUCGGAUUGUAAACUUCUUUUAUUAAGGACGAAAAAUGACGGUACUAAUUGAAUAAGCUCCGGCUAACUACGUGCCAGC